rnacentral:rRNA from 1 species
AAAUUGAAGAGUUUGAUCAUGGCUCAGAUUGAACGCUGGCGGCAGGCCUAACACAUGCAAGUCGAACGGUAACAGGAAGCAGCUUGCUGCUUCGCUGACGAGUGGCGUACGGUUGAGUAAUGUCUGGGAAAAUGCCUGCGGGCGGGGGAUAUCCACGGGAAACGGUAGCUAAUACCGCAUACCGUCGCAAGA